GCUUCUUUAGCUCAGUUGGUACGAGCGUCCGACUGAAGGAUUCAGUUGCCACUGCUGCAGUGGGUGUGGCGAGUUGCAUAUCGGCGGCUCUGCGCGCCAAUCGGGAGGUCACCUGUUCGACCCAGGUAAGGAGCA